rnacentral:rRNA from 1 species
GAACUUAGCAGAGAUGCUUUGGUGCCUUCGGGAACUCUGAGACAGGUGCUGCAUGGCUGUCGUCAGCUCGUGUUGUGAAAUGUUGGGUUAAGUCCCGCAACGAGCGCAACCCUUAUCCUUUGUUGCCAGCGGUUAGGCCGGGAACUCAAAGGAGACUGCCAGUGAUAAACUGGAGGAAGGUGGGGAUGACGUCAAGUCAUCAUGGCCCUUACGAGUAGGGCUACACACGUGCUACAAUGACGCAUACAAAGAGAAGCGACCUCGCGAGAGCAAGCGGACCUCAUAAAGUGCGUCGUAGUCCGGAUUGGAGUCUGCAACUCGACUCCAUGAAGUCGGAAUCGCUAGUAAUCGUGGAUCAGAAUGCCACGGUGAAUACGUUCCCGGGCCUUGUACACACCGCCCGUCACACCAUGGGAGUGGGUUGCAAAAGAAGUAGGUAGCUUAACCUUCGGGAGGGCGCUUACCACUUUGUGAUUCAUGACUGGGGUGAAGUCGUAACAAGGUAGGCGUAGUGCU